ensembl:lncRNA novel transcript, antisense to TRIM47
CUAGCAUGGCAGCUUCCCCCUCCUCGAUGAAGCCCAGCACCUGGGUCUGGAAGCCCUGCAGGGCGGCCGCAGCAUCUGCAAACAGCCGGCUCACCCUCUCCCGCUCUGCUACGGCUGCACUCUGCACAGGACGACAGUAGAGGGGGCAAUGAGGGCAAAGAACCGUCCCGGACUGUACCCCCCUCCUUCCCUGACCCCGGCUUCCCACCGGCCCUCUUGAGGGGACAGAGGGGCCAGACUGAGCCUGUCCUGGAUCUGGGCCAGGUCAGGGGACACUUGUGCUCAGUAGGUAUGGGCAUGGUUUGUUUGGAGUGGAUUGUUCCAUGCUGAGGGAGGGGUGUUUGACCUUGAUGAGGGCCACUGUGCGCCUGGACUGUGCAAUGCCAGCACCCAGCUCGUCCAUGCGGUCCUCCACGGCGCUCAGGACUUUGGACUGCUCAGCCUGUGGACAACACCCUCCAUGAGUGUGAGGUCUGGCAGAGGCCACAGCCCUACACUCGGGUCCCAGGCCUUGCCAGGGGAGAGAAGGGGGUGACUGGGGAGUGGUAUCUGUGCAUCAGGUGGGACUGGAGUGGCCACGAUGUCCCAUAAUAUGCCAGAGGUGCCUGCAGCCCAGGCUGGUGCCUUUCCUGAACGCCUGGGGGGCGUGCAGGCUGACUGGGUGUCUGCCUCGGGUCUCUGACAGGAGGCCUAGUACAGGGCCGUCCGCUGGUCUCAGUGUUGCUCAGAUGAAUUUGAGAACUUCCUCCGGCGGGGAAGAGGCAGAGAGUAAGCCAGUUAGGUUGGGAGGUGGGCGGCGGAGGGGUGACUGCACAAGGAGGCAUUAAGCUGUCCUGAGGAUCACUGUUCCCAAAGAGCCUGCAUCCACAGUCCAGGCCUGGAAAAAAGGGGAUUCCGGGCAAAUCCCCUAGGUCUUAUGAGUCACUGCUCCAGGCAGGAGAAACGGAAAAUCCCUUGGCCAGAGGCGCCAAGACCGGGCUGGAGGCCAAAGGAAACUGGGGGCGGGAGGUAGAGGCCGCGGCUCACAUGCUCCCACCACUGGCCCCCGGAACAGCUGGACAGAGAAUCUGUGUGCCCGGUCGCCCUCUGCCGCCCUCCUGCCGCCUGCCACACCCAUCGAAAGCUGCUGCCUCAGCCCAGGGCAAAUCUGAGCUGAGACCGGCGUGACCCUCCGGGCGGGAGCAGCAGCCACGCUACCGGAACCCCGCGGGCCUAACCCGGCUCCCUCCCGCCUACACCCCCAUAGACCCCGGCCCGGCUUCAGGUCCCCUGCCCGCUCUUCGCGUCCUUGUCCUGUUCUCACGUCCCUCCUUCCUCCCUUCCCAUCUCCAUCACCGCCAGCAGAUGACCUUGUCAAGGCUGGAAGGGACCGCAAAGAUCCUCAGGUUAGAGGAGGAGAUUAAGACCCAACCCGGGAAGACUGGGGGGUCCAAGGUCCUCGGCCCGCUCGCGCGCGGUCGGUCACCAGCCCCGGCUCACCCGAGUGUGCCCCCGGAGCCCACCUCCUGAAGCGCGCGCUCCUGCUCCAGCGGCACCAGCUCGUGGCCGCGGUGCUCCUGUGCGGCGCAGGCCUCGCACAGACACACGCGCUCCGCGCGGCAGUAGCGCUCGAGCGGCCGUAGGUGGCGCGGGCACAGGCUCUCCUCUAGCCGGCGCAGCGGCGGCACCAGGCGGUGUCCGCGGAGGGCGGGGCUGCGCUCGUGCGGGCCCAGGUGCGCGGGGCAAAAGGAGGCGAGGCAGGAGAGGCAGGACAGCGCGGCGGGCAGGGCCGCGCCCUCGGGGCACGCGUCGCAGCGCACUGGCUCUUCGCCCGCGGGCCACGGCUCGGGAGCGCAGGGGGCCGACGGCUCCGGGACACUGGGCAGCGCGCUGGGUGCCGAGGGCUCCGGGGCCAGGGCAGGGGCCGGGCCGGGGCCGGACCCGGGGCCCGAGCCCUGGCGGAGCUGCAGCAGCUCGGACAGCGUGUGGUUCUUGCGGAGCUGAAGGCCGUCGGGGAAGGGCUCCUGGCACAGCGGGCAGCGGGCCGCGCCUCCGGGUCCGCCGGCUCCACUCGCGCCACGAUGCGGCCAGAGCGCGCCCAGGCAGGCGAGACAGAAGUUGUGGCCGCAGGGCAGCGUCACCGGCUCCCGGAGUGGCUCUAGGCAGAUGGGGCAGCUGAAGGGUCCACUGCCGUCCAUGACUCCGCGGCCGCCCAGGGCGCCGCCGAUUGUGCUCCGGCCUGGGAGGGACCCGGGCCGUUCGCGCCGCGGCACCUCCCCCUGGGACCUAGGCCAGGGCUCCGGCCCCCGCCCGCCCCCAGCUCGGCCCGCCCCGCAGCACCGCCCGCCUGCGGGCCCGCGGACUCCCAGUCCCCGCCCAGACAACGCAGGGAGGCCUCCGAGCCCGCGCGACCCCCAGGGGAGUCCGCGUGGUCCUAAGGAAGGGCGCUGCUGAAAGGGUGUGAAACUGAGUGAGCGCGGGCGGAGAACGCGAGAGGUACAGUGGAAGGAAUGGGAAGGACUCAGCCUCCAUCCCUCUGGUCCUUCUGGGCCAGGCCAGCGCUCCGCAGGGGCUGGGCGCGUCUAGCUGUGUCAUGCCUGCACCUUUGCGCUCGACCCCUCCCUGGCACCCUUAGCAAAGUUCCUGAGCUGCUGACUGCAGAGAAAAAUAACUGCUGAUGUACAUAUGUUUUUGCCCCUUAGCGACUCUUUUUUUUUUUUUUUUUGAGACAGAGUUCCUCUCUUGUCGCCCAGGCUGGAGUGCAGGGGCGCUAUCUCGGCUCACUGCAACCUCCGCCUCCCGGAUUCAAGUGAUUCUCCUGCCUUAGCCUCCCAAGUAGCUGGAAUUAUAGGCGCUUGCCACCACACCAGGCAAAUUUUUGUAUUUUUUUGUAGAGACGGAGUUUCACCUUGUCCAGGCUGGUCUUGAACUCGUGACCUCAGGUGAUCCACCUGCCUCGGCCUCCCAAAGUGCUGGGAUUACAGGCGUGAGCCACAGCGCCCAGCUCCUUUAGCGACUCUUUACCCCAAGUAGGGAACUUGGACUUUUCUAGACCUGAAAUGGGAAGUUGACGUCAUUCCCUAAGUCCCUUGUCUGAGGAAUGUAGUUCUGGCCCCUGGACACUGGGGACACCUGUGGUGGGGUUGGGGGUUCCCCAACUGGAAGUAUUUAAAGCUCAUCUAAUUAUGCACUUAAA